GGGCAUGUAGUGUAGGGGUUAUCGCGCCUCAUUUGCAGGCUUGUUGUCAGCAAAAUUUGAGGAGGUCCUGAGUUCAAUUCUCAGCUUGUCCA
rnacentral:tRNA from 1 species